rnacentral:rRNA from 1 species
GAUGAACGCUGGCGGCGUGCCUAAUACAUGCAAGUCGAGCGAACGGACGAGAAGCUUGCUUCUCUGAUGUUAGCGGCGGACGGGUGAGUAACACGUGGAUAACCUACCUAUAAGACUGGGAUAACUUCGGGAAACCGGAGCUAAUACCGGAUAAUAUUUUGAACCGCAUGGUUCAAAAGUGAAAGACGGUCUUGCUGUCACUUAUAGAUGGAUCCGCGCUGCAUUAGCUAGUUGGUAAGGUAACGGCUUACCAAGGCAACGAUGCAUAGCCGACCUGAGAGAGUGAGCGGCCACACUGGAACUGAGACACGGUCCAGACUCCUACGGGAGGCAGCAGUAGGGAAUCGUCCGCAAUGGGCGAAAGCCUGACGGAGCAACGCCGCGUGAGUGAUGAAGGUCUUCGGAUCGUAAAACUCUGUUAUUAGGGAAGAACAUAUGUGUAAGUAACUGUGCACAUCUUGACGGUACCUAAUCAGAAAGCCACGGCUAACUACGUG